GGGGGCGUAGCUCAGUUGGGAGAGCGCUUGAAUGGCAUUCAAGAGGUCAUCAGUUCAAUCCUGUUCGCCUCCACCA
rnacentral:tRNA from 1 species